AACGAACGCUGGCGGCAUGCCUAACACAUGCAAGUCGAACGAGACCUUCGGGUCUAGUGGCGCACGGGUGCGUAACGCGUGGGAACCUGCCCUUAGGUUCGGAAUAACUCCCCGAAAGGGGUGCUAAUACCGGAUAAUGUCUUCGGUCCAAAGAUUUAUCGCCUUUGGAUGGGCCCGCGUUGGAUUAGCUAGUUGGUAGGGUUAAAGCCUGCCAAGGCGACGAUCCAUAGCUGGUCUGAGAGGAUGAUCAGCCACACCGGCACUGAGACACGGCCCAGACUCCUGCGGGAGGCAGCAGUGGGGAAUAUUGGACAAUGGGCGAAAGGCUGAUCCAGCAAUGCCGCGUGAGUGAUGAAGGCCUUAGGGUUGUAAAGCUCUUUUACCCGGGAUGAUAAUGACAGUACCGGGAGAAUAAGCUCCGGCUAACUCCGUG
rnacentral:rRNA from 1 species